CAUACGGGGGGCAGCAGUGGGGAAUAUUGGACAAUGGGCGAAAGCCUGAUCCAGCCAUGCCGCGUGUGUGAAGAAGGCCUUCGGGUUGUAAAGCACUUUCAGUGGGGAAGAAAGCCUUGGGGCUAAUACCCUCGAGGAAGGACAUCACCCACAGAAGAAGCACCGGCUAACUCCGUGCCAGCAGCCGCGGUAAUACGGAGGGUGCGAGCGUUAAUCGGAAUUACUGGGCGUAAAGCGCGCGUAGGCGGUCUGAUAAGCCGGUUGUGAAAGCCCCGGGCUCAACCUGGGAACGGCAUCCGGAACUGUCAGGCUAGAGUGCAGGAGAGGAAGGUAGAAUUCCCGGUGUAGCGGUGAAAUGCGUAGAGAUCGGGAGGAAUACCAGUGGCGAAGGCGGCCUUCUGGACUGACACUGACGCUGAGGUGCGAAAGCGUGGGUAGCAAACAGGAUUAGAUACCCCAGUAGUC
rnacentral:rRNA from 1 species